rnacentral:lncRNA from 1 species
CAGCCUCAAGGGAGACAGGGGCAGGAUUUUAUCUCUGUCAUGUCCCACUGAUGGGCAGUCUAGAGGUCCCCUGUAAAGGAUGAUUGUUAAAUAUUAAGAGGACGAUAUCCUCACUGAGGAGCAUCUGGUGCUUGAUAGCUUGAAGACCAGAGGGGGAAAAACUGGUUUAUUAGAUUGGAAGACACAGACCAGAAGGAAAUAAGGGGGUGAGGACAGCUUCAAAAAUCCUGACGCUGCCAACACACCAGGAAUUGGUUUGUGUGAUUGUGGGGAUUGGCAAGUCUGAAUUCUGCAAGGCAGACCAGAAGGCCAUAGGCCCAGGAAAAAGAUGAUAUUGUAGCUCAAGUUUGAAGACA